rnacentral:rRNA from 1 species
GGGUCAGUAGGUUGGUCGUGCCACCGGUACGUACUGGAAUCACUGAUUCCUCCUUCCUGAAGAACCGUAAUGCCAUUAAUUUGGUGUUGCGGGGAAACAGGACUGUUACUUUGAAAAAAUUAGAGUGUUUAAAGCAAGCUAACGCUUGAAUACAUUAGCAUGGAAUAAUGAAAUAGGACGAUCGAUCCUAUUUUGUUGGUUUCUAGGAUUGACGUA